CUCGCGGUGCCAUGCCACAAUUCGUUUUAGCAAGGGCCAGUUCCUGCUGCAGGACAAUAGCUCCAAGUUCGGGACCCUCGUAGCGAUGAAGAAGCCGAGGGUCCUGGAGCCAGGUGUGAACCUCUCCAUCCAGAUGGGUCGCACCGUGCUCACCCUCUGCGCGCAGCAGGACCCGAGCCAAGCUACGGCGG
rnacentral:SRP_RNA from 1 species